UGAUUUGCAGAGUGGUUGUACCAGA
rnacentral:misc_RNA from 1 species